CCUACGGGAGGCAGCAGUGGGGAAUAUUGCGCAAUGGGGGAAACCCUGACGCAGCGACGCCGCGUGAGCGAUGAAGGCCUUCGGGUUGUAAAGCUCUGUCUUCCCUGACGAUAAUGACGGUAAGGGAGGAGGAAGCCACGGCUAACUACGUGCCAGCAGCCGCGGUAAU
rnacentral:rRNA from 1 species